rnacentral:rRNA from 1 species
CUGGCUCAGGAUGAACGCUAGCUACAGGCUUAACACAUGCAAGUCGAGGGGCAGCAUUGGAGUAGCAAUACUCAGAUGGCGACCGGCGCACGGGUGAGUAACACGUAUCCAACCUGCCGCUUACUCGGGGAUAGCCUUUCGAAAGAAAGAUUAAUACCCGAUGGUAUAAAGAGUUCGCAUGUUCUCUUUAUUAAAGAAUUUCGGUAAGCGAUGGGGAUGCGUUCCAUUAGAUAGUUGGCGGGGUAACGGCCCACCAAGUCUACGAUGGAUAGGGGUUCUGAGAGGAAGGUCCCCCACAUUGGAACUGAGACACGGUCCAAACUCCUACGGGAGGCAGCAGUGAGGAAUAUUGGUCAAUGGACGCGAGUCUGAACCAGCCAAGUAGCGUGAAGGAUGACUGCCCUAUGGGUCGUAAACUUCUUUUAUAAGGGAAUAAAGUGAGGGACGUGUCCCUUUUUGUAUGUACCUUAUGAAUAAGGAUCGGCUAACUCCGUGCCAGCAGCUGC